rnacentral:rRNA from 1 species
AUGGCCACGUAUUUCGACUCGGACCGUCAGUCGAAGAAAGACUACACAAAUAUCAAGAAAGUUUUUGAUGAUGCUCUCCCCGGCUACGCCAAAUCUGGAGGCACCUUCAGGAGGCCAAUUUGUAGGUACGACAAGCACGUGUUCACCCACGUAACGACGUUCCCCUGCGUCAAGCAGCCGCCUGGCAGUCAGAAGGAUGCCUACUACACCCUCCAUCACAUGCGGGCGAUCGUACGGGACCAUAAUCACCUUAUGCUACCAAAUAAUCUCAAAGAUUUGGCCGCACGCUUGUCGGCAAUCCAGGACGAGGACAUGAGAUAUGAAUUCUUUCGCAUCCAGUCGGAGUCUGCGGAAAUCUUCUAUCAAGAUGUCCUUCGUACCUUGGGUCAGUUCUACCUCAAAUAUCGACCGUCCAACAGUGAAAUAGAAACAACGCUACAAAUGCAGGCUGACAACGACCACACAUUCAUGACCAUCACGAAAGACGGCGGCUUCAUCCACGCUUCGGUCCCUGAGUCGAGUCGAAAGUAA